UUGAGCCUCAAAAACGCCAUCGCCGUGUAAACGAAAGGCACAUCCGAUAAAAUAUUUUUACGUUUUCAACCGCGAGCAAUCUCGUGUUAACAGGGCCUAAGGACGGGAAUCCGAUUGAGGAACACCCCAGAAAUGGCUCGGCUACGAUGUUCCGAUAAAGAAGUCACGCCGGGUGUUGAAUAUUGUCAGAUUCAGAUGCAUCAAUGAGAGUCAGUAAUGCAGUGGAUAACUAUGAGGAUGAUCACAUCCACAUGCCCCACAGCUGUGAUGCAGAAUCACAAUGGGAGGAUCAAUCUGUCUUUGGCCACAACCUGAUCUUAUCAGAGAGACUCUCCAGCGUCUUGAUGCUCUUUAGCGAAAGUAUGAGCAGCACAGACUAACGUUACAUGAAGAAUCUUACAACGCUUCGAAAAGAAUAAAAAAGGCACAUGACGUGAACAUUGCGGAAUCUGUAAGGCGCCUCCAUAAUUCAGAGAACAACCCACACAAAUACGUUCCACAAACCAGAAUAAAUUCAUCACAUAACCUGGCUGUGACCACUUACCUCUUCGAAGAAUUAAGGUCAACUUUUACAGACGUUGACCCUGAAUGUGUAAAAGCAGGUUGGAAGAUGUAUUUUGAGACUUUGCGGAGGAAGUAUUCUUUGGCUCAGCCUGAAAAGGCCCAGAAAAGAAAAACUAUGACGAGCGUUGCAAAGAACCUUCAAAGAAAGCGACUGUUGCUGGAGACCAGGUCCGGGGUUGUACAAACCAACACAGAAAAGGAACUUUGGAAGACCGCAACAAUAGAACUGAUGUCUGAUGAAGAUGAAGAUGAUGCUAUUGUUGAUGGAAGGCCAGUGUGAAUGGUGAGGUCUCCACCAAUCUGCUCUCUGCUAGGUACUAUAAAACAGACUAGAGGCUGACCCACACUAUGCGUCACACCACCAGCGUAUCAUGGCAGUUUGAAAAAUGUUAACUCGUAUAAAAAAAAA